GUGCACUUUCCCAGCUGCAGCUAGUGGCCUCCGGCCCUGGGGUGGGCAAAGUCUCCGAGCCCCUCACACUGACCUGCGCUGUCUCCGGGUUCUCCAUCAAUAGUCAGUAUUACUACUGGUACUGGCUCCGUCAGCCUCCUGGAGAAGGGCUGGAAUCCAUGGGAUACAUACACGCAUAUAACGGGGGUACAGGCUACGCCCCGUCUCUCCAAGGCCGGAUCACCAUCUCUGCAGACGCUGCGAAGAACCAGGUCUCCCUGACGCUGCGCUCUCUGACAGCUGCAGACACCGCCACCUAUUACUGCGGCAGGAGCUACACAGUGACAGAGGCACAGGGAG